GAGAGCCGUAACACAGGUGCUGCAUGGCUGUCGUCAGCUCGUGUCGUGAGAUGUUGGGUUAAGUCCCGCAACGAGCGCAACCCUUGCCAUUAGUUGCUACAUUUAGUUGAGCACUCUAAUGGGACUGCCGGUGACAAACCGGAGGAAGGUGGGGAUGACGUCAAGUCCUCAUGGCCCUUAUAGGUGGGGCUACACACGUCAUACAAUGGCUGGUACAAAGGGUUGCCAACCCGCGAGGGGGAGCUAAUCCCAUAAAGCCAGUCGUAGUCCGGAUCGCAGUCUGCAACUCGACUGCGUGAAGUCGGAAUCGCUAGUAAUCGUGGAUCAGAAUGUCACGGUGAAUACGUUCCCGGGUCUU
rnacentral:rRNA from 1 species